rnacentral:rRNA from 1 species
GAGUUUGAUCAUGGCUCAGAACGAACGCUGGCGGCGUGCCUAACACAUGCAAGUCGAACGAGAAAGUUUUCUUCGGAAAACGAGUAGAGUGGCGCACGGGUGAGUAACACGUGGAUAACCUGCCCUAUGAUCUGGGAUAACACUUCGAAAGAGGUGCUAAUACCGGAUAAGCCUACACAAUCUUCGGAGCGAGUAGGAAAAGAUUUAUCGUCAUAGGAUGGGUCCGCGGUCCAUUAGUUAGUUGGUGGGGUAACGGCCUACCAAGACCACGAUGGAUAGCUGGUCUGAGAGGAUGAUCGGCCACAUUGGGACUGAGACACGGCCCAGACUCCUACGGGAGGCAGCAGUGAGGAAUAUUGCGCAAUGGGGGAAACCCUGACGCAGUGACGCCGCGUGAGUGAUGAAGGCUUUCGAGUCGUAAAGCUCUGUGAGGUGGAAAGAAACGUUCCAGCGCUAAUAUUGCUGGAAUUUGACGGUACCACCAGGGGAAGCACCGGCUAACUCCGUGCCAGCAGCCGCGGUAA